GCGGCAUUAGCUCAGUUGGUAGAGCACUGGAUUGUGAUUCCAGGUGUCACCGGUUCGAUCCCGGUAUGUCGCCCCA
rnacentral:tRNA from 9 species